rnacentral:rRNA from 1 species
GACAGAGGCCUCAAGCGUUAGGCGGAAUCACUGGGCUUAAAGCGUGUGUAGGCGGACGCCUAAGUGUCUUGUGAAAUCCCCCGGCUCACCCGGGGAACUGCUGGGCAUACUGGGCGUCUUGGGCCAACUAGGGGCAACUGGAACAAGCGGUGGAGCGGUGAAAUGCGUAGAUAUCGGAAGGAACACCGGUGGCGAAAGCGGCGCGCUGGACCCCAUCUGACGCUGAGGCGCGAAAGCCAGGGGAGCAAACGGG